AUUGAACGCUGGCGGCAUGCCUUACACAUGCAAGUCGAACGGUAACAGGUCUUCGGAUGCUGACGAGUGGCGAACGGGUGAGUAAUACAUCGGAACGUGCCCGAGAGUGGGGGAUAACGAGGCGAAAGCUUUGCUAAUACCGCAUACGAUCUCAGGAUGAAAGCAGGGGACCGCAAGGCCUUGCGCUCACGGAGCGGCCGAUGGCAGAUUAGGUAGUUGGUGGGAUAAAAGCUUACCAAGCCGACGAUCUGUAGCUGGUCUGAGAGGACGACCAGCCACACUGGGACUGAGACACGGCCCAGACUCCUACGGGAGGCAGCAGUGGGGAAUUUUGGGCAAUGGGCGCAAGCCUGAUCCAGCCAUGCCGCGUGCAGGAUGAAGGCCUUCGGGUUGUAAACUGCUUUUGUACGGAACGAAAAGACUCUGGUUAAUACCUGGGGUCCAUGACGGUACCCAAAGAAUAAGCACCGGCUAACUUCGUGCCAGCAGCCGCGGUAAGAC
rnacentral:rRNA from 1 species